UUCCCUCCCUCCCUCCCCUUCCCUCUCCACCUCUUCCCUCCCCUUCCCUCCCUUCUUCCCACCCUCCUCUUCCCUCCCCACCUCUCCCCUCCCUUUCCCUCCCCCUCCCUGCCAACUGCUGUUUUUUUUUUUUUGUCUUGUUAGUGCCACCUGUGGCACAUGGAAGCUCCCAGGCUAGGAGGAGCUACGCCACAGCCACAGCCAAGCCAGAUCCAAGCCGCAUCUGCAACCUACACCACAGCCCACUGAACCAGGCCGGGGGAGUUGAACUGGUGCCCUCACGGAUACCAGUCAGGUUCUUGACCACUGAGCCGCGGCAGGAACUCGCAUGUGCUCCUUUUAUCCCUCACGCGUUCUCCUCCCACAAGGCUCAUUAUGGCCACACCCAAAGUUGAGUCUAAGCCCUGCAACAAGCACGACCUGUCGGUUUUGCUCAUCCCAGCAAAUUAGCCCAGGCUCUGCAGCCCGAACGCCGGAGAAGCAGCCGCGGAUUGGCCCAGGUUUCUCAACAAAAUUAGAGCUGUUAGCAGGAGGAAGGCGGACGGAUGCUGAGUAAGCAAAUCAUGAUGCUUCAUCCUGGUAAACAGCGAAGAUCUACCCAGCUUCCCAGAAUCUCCCAGGGACUCGGAUUAAGGUCAUUUUCCAUUUUUUCAUGAGCCUCUGUCCCUAAGCUGCAGGAUCACCAGCACAGCGAUCCAUAUGUGAAAUUUCUACGGAAGAGUCUAAAUCUCUUGGGGGAAUAUGAUUCAUACUUCUUCCUCCAAUAAUGUUGUUGCUGUUUUUAAAUGUUGAACUGCAUUGCCAAUAUCCUAGGGACAAAAUAAGCAUUGCUGUUGUGCUUUGAGGAUCUUAUUUAAAUUUGCCACAUGAUAGGUGGGUCGGGACAGGUGAACAUAGAGCUAUUAUAAAGAUAGCAAAAUCCAGGAUGCAUUAACUUGACAUUGGCCACCCAACACCGAGUCAAGGUGAAAACUACAUUCCUGUGCUUCAAAGACAGCCAGCAGGCUGCCCAUACGCUCCAUGGAUCCUGUACCAAUUAGAUUAAUUCUAAAACAAGAAUUUGUUGGUUGAUCUUUCUGCGAAGACUGGAAUACAGGUAGCUGCAGACCAAGCUGAGUCCAGAAGCUCAGAAAUUGUUAUCAGGCUCAUCUCUGUCUCUUGGCUCUAGCAAACACAAAUUAAUGUAUAAGGCAGAACUGAAUUCUUUAUACCUGGGACACAACUAAAGCAAAUCUGAAUAUUGAAAAUAAAAGGGUAAGAAAAGCUAGAUUAGGGGGAAAA
rnacentral:lncRNA from 1 species